rnacentral:lncRNA from 1 species
GCCCCUCUCCGAGCCUGAGCCCAGCAGGACCCAGGCCGGCCCGAGAGGAGCAGAGCCGGAGGUUCCCCUUCAGCUCCCACCGGGCCGGUGGGAUGGACAGAGGCGCUGGGAGCGCCCCCGAACGGGUUAACAGACUGCCCUGCUCCUCCCUUCGUCGCCCACCUUCCGCCAGACCACAGAGCUGGCCCCGAGACGGCGGCCGAGGGGGAGGAAGCCCCAGCAGGCGCCGUGCGGGCCAGCAUCUCCUCCAGAUGCUUUCGGCCUGCCCAGGAGAACGUCAUUGCCAGGGGGAGAAGGGGGAGCAGAGGAAGCCCUCAUGGGCAGACGGAGGGCCCGGGGGCUCCCUGCUUCAGCCCGGGCCCAGGAGAGUAUUUCGGGCCGCUGCCGGGGCUGCCCGUCCCCAAGGAGGGCGGCCCAGGCGGCCUGCCCUUCCUCUCCUAGGAGGGUCCCCACCGCCGCACUAAGCCACUGGCUUGUGUCUCUAAGAUACGGGAGGCCAAAUAUUUGGGCUGCCUGGAAAGCCUUAACUCUGAACAAGCGGCCUCCUGCCGGGGGGGGGGGGCCCUCUCGAGCUGCCCUUUGGGCUCCCAGACAAAGCCGGGCCGGGACGGGGCUCUGGGCCUUGGAGGCUCCGAGGAGGACAAGGCAUGUCCUCUGCCCCGUCCCUGAUGGGGGAAGCCAGCCCCCGGGGGACGCGAGCUCACCAGCGGCAGAGAUAGGGCAGCCCGAGCCCUCAGAAGAGCCGCCUUGGCCCCCUUGGGCGCUUCCCCGCCAUCCCUGCUGCUGGAGCCCUCAGAGGAGCCUCCCUGGCCCCCUUGGGUGCUUCUCCACCAGCCCUGGUGCUGGAGCCCUCAGAAGAGCCUCCCCAGCCCCCUUGGGUGCUUCUCCACCAGCCCUGCUGCUGGAGCCCUCAGAAGAGCCUCCCCGGCCCCCUUGGGUGCUUCUCCACCAGCCCUGGUGCUGGAGCCCUCAGAAGAGCCUCCCCAGCCCCCUUGGGUGCUUCUCCACCAGCCCUGCUGCUGGAGCCCUCAGAAGAGCCUCCCCGGCCCCCUUGGGUGCUUCUCCACCAGCCCUGGUGCUGGAGCCCUCAGAAGAG